rnacentral:lncRNA from 1 species
GGAAAAGAAUUUCUGAGGGUCCCAGAGUUGGGGUUUGGGGAGAGCUGAGCACAGAUUUGCAGAGGGCAGGGGCCAAGAGAGAGGGAACUAACAGCAAGGAUAGAGAAACUAGAACAGGCCUGUGAAGCCCCUCCAUGUGCCAGGCAGUCUCCGAGUCACAGGAGGGGCGCUGACCCACCGAGGGCGUCUGGGAUGCCUUCCCUGAGGGGACAGCGAGCAAGGGCUUGAAGGAAGAGGAAGAGCUGUCCAGGAGGGGCGAGGAGAGUGUUCAGGCUACGAUAGUAACCAGAGCUGUGGGGUGAGAGACUACUUGUGUGGGACGGUGAGAAGGACAAGAGCCAGUAUUACUGGAGUGUCGGAGAUGCUUCAGAGCUCAGAGGAGCAGUGAGCACCUUGGGGGCCCAGCCCCUGCCACCCCCACCCACCGCUGACUAAACUGGACCCGUUUCCCUGAACCUGCUGAGUGCUGCCCUGUGUCCGCGUUGGUUGGUGCAAAUAUGGACCAUUUCCAUCAUCGCAUGCAAUUCUAUUGGACAGCGCUGAUCUGGACAUCGAAUGUUCCUAAAACUGUUGUCAACUCCCUCGCUGUGCCAGGUACUCAGUGAACCAAGGCCCUUGGCCGAGCAGGGUGCCAGAGAGGUCCGGCAGGUGCGGGUGUUUGGUAAUGAGGACAGGGAGAGGUAAGCAUGGGCUAAUUACACUUUCCUGUCUCCACGGCACUUAGCCCAAUUUGUAAUUAUUUGUUGCUGGUUGUUUACUGGGCCUGCCUUCCCUGCGAAGGUCUGGGAACACAGAGACUGCGCGUCUGUUUUGCUCCCUCGGUUUCCCAGUGCCUGGCAUAGCGCUGGCACACAGUAGGUGCUUGAUGACCAUUUCUUUCUGAAAUGAGUCAAA